UACGGAGGGUGCAAGCGUUGCUCGGAAUUAUUGGGCGUAAAGGGUAGGUAGGUGGUCUCAUUUGUCAGAGGUGAAAGCCUUGAGCUUAACUCAAGAAGUGCCUCUGAAACGGUGGGACUAGAGUCCUGGAGAGGGUCGUGGAAUUCCCGGUGUAGCGGUGAAAUGCGUAGAGAUCAGGAAGAACACCGGUGGCGAAGGCGCUCUGCUAGGCCGCAACUGACACUGAGGGCCGAAAGCUAGGGGAGCGAAUGGG
rnacentral:rRNA from 1 species